CUCUGUAACUACGGAAGAUGG
rnacentral:siRNA from 1 species